GGCUCAGAUUGAACGCUGGCGGCAGGCCUAACACAUGCAAGUCGAACGGUAACAGRAAGCAGCUUGCUGCUUKGCUGACGAGUGGCGGACGGGUGAGUAAUGUCUGGGAAACUGCCCGAUGGAGGGGGAUAACUACUGGAAACGGUAGCUAAUACCGCAUAAUGUCGCAAGACCAAAGAGGGGGACCUUCGGGCCUCUUGCCAUCGGAUGUGCCCAGAUGGGAUUAGCUUGUUGGUGAGGUAAUGGCUCACCAAGGCGACGAUCCCUAGCUGGUCUGAGAGGAUGACCAGCCACACUGGAACUGAGACACGGUCCAGACUCCUACGGGAGGCAGCAGUGGGGAAUAUUGCACAAUGGGCGCAAGCCUGAUGCAGCCAUGCCGCGUGUGUGAAGAAGGCCUUCGGGUUGUAAAGCACUUUCAGCGGGGAGGAAGGCAGYACGGUUAAUAACCGUGCUGAUUGACGUUACCCGCAGAAGAAGCACCGGCUAACUCCGUGCC
rnacentral:rRNA from 1 species